rnacentral:rRNA from 1 species
GACGAACGCUGGCGGCGUGCUUAACACAUGCAAGUCGAACGGAAAGGCCCUGCUUUUGUGGGGUGCUCGAGUGGCGAACGGGUGAGUAACACGUGAGUAACCUGCCCUUGACUUUGGGAUAACUUCAGGAAACUGGGGCUAAUACCUGAUAGGAGCUCCUGCUGCAUGGUGGGGGUUGGAAAGUUUCGGCGGUUGGGGAUGGACUCGCGGCUUAUCAGCUUGUUGGUGGGGUAGUGGCUUACCAAGGCUUUGACGGGUAGCCGGCCUGAGAGGGUGACCGGGCACAUUGGGACUGAGAUACGGACCAGACUCCAACGGGAGGCAGCAGUGGGGAAUAUUGCACAAUGGGCGGAAGCCUGAUGCAGAAACGCCGCGUGCGGGAUGACGGCCUUCGGGUUGUAAACCGCUUUCGCCUGUGACGAAGCGUGAGUGACGGUAAUGGGUAAAGAAGCACCGGCUAACUACGUG